rnacentral:rRNA from 1 species
UGGGGAAUUUUGGACAAUGGGCGAAAGCCUGAUCCAGCAAUGCCGCGUGUGUGAAGAAGGCCUUCGGGUUGUAAAGCACUUUUGUCCGGAAAGAAAUCCUUGGCUCUAAUACAGUCGGGGGAUGACGGUACCGGAAGAAUAAGCACCGGCUAACUACGUGCCAGCAGCCGCGGUAAUACGUAGGGUGCAAGCGUUAAUCGGAAUUACUGGGCGUAAAGCGUGCGCAGGCGGUUUGCUAAGACCGAUGUGAAAUCCCCGGGCUCAACCUGGGAACUGCAUUGGUGACUGGCAGGCUAGAGUAUGGCAGAGGGGGGUAGAAUUCCACGUGUAGCAGUGAAAUGCGUAGAGAUGUGGAGGAAUACCGAUGGCGAAGGCAGCCACCUGGGCCAAUACUGACGCUCAUGCACGAAAGCGUGGGGAGCAAACGAUUAAUNCCCUGGUAGUCCACGCCCUAAACGAUGUCAACUAGUUGUUGGGGAUUCAUUUCCUAGUAACGUAGCUAACGCGUG